rnacentral:rRNA from 1 species
GUCGUAACAAGGUUUCCGUAGGUGAACCUGCGGAAGGAUCAUUAUUGAAAAUAAAUCUGAUCAGUUGCUGCUGGUUCUCUAGGGAGCAUGUGCACACUUGUCAUCUUUAUAUCUCCACCCUGUGCACCUUUUGUAGACCCUGGAUGUCUAUGUUUCUUCAUAUACCCCAAUGUAUGUUGUAGAAUGUAAAUCAAUGGUGUAAACCUAUACAACUUUCAGCAACGGAUCUCUUGGCUCUCGCAUCGAUGAAGAACGCAGCGAAAUGCGAUAAGUAAUGUGAAUUGCAGAAUUCAGUGAAUCAUCGAAUCUUUGAACGCACCUUGCGCUCCUUGGUAUUCCGAGGAGCAUGCCUGUUUGAGUGUCAUUAAUAUAUCAACCUCUUUGUUGAGUGUUGGAUGUGGGGGUCUUUUUUUUUGCUGGUCCUUCUCAGGYUCAGCUCCCCUGAAAUACAUUAGCGGAACCAUCUGUUCAUUGGUGUGAUAACUAUCUACGCUAUUGCAGGUUCAGCUUCUAACAGUCCAUUUUUUAUUAAUGUGACCUCAAAUCAGGUAGGACUACCCGCUGAACUUAAGCAUAUCAAUAAGCGGAGGAAAAGAAACUAACGAGGAUUCCCCUAGUAACUGCGAGUGAAGCGGGAAAAGCUCAAAUUUAAAAUCUGUCAGUCUUUGGCUGGCCGAGUUGUAAUCUAGAGAAGUGUUAUCCGCGCUGGACCGUGUACAAGUCUCCUGGAAUGGAGCGUCAUAGAGGGUGAGAAUCCCGUCUUUGACACGGACUGCCAGGGCUUUUUGUGAUGCGCUCUCAAAGAGUCGAGUUGUUUGGGAAUGCAGCUCAAAAUGGGUGGUAAAUUCCAUCUAAAGCUAAAUAUUGGCGAGAGACCGAUAGCGAACAAGUACCGUGAGGGAAAGAUGAAAAGAACUUUGGAAAGAGAGUUAAACAGUACGUGAAAUUGCUGAAAGGGAAACGCUUGAAGUCAGUCGCGUUGUCCAGGGAUCAACCUUGCUUUUGCUCGGUGUACUUUCUGGUUGGACGGGUCAGCAUCAAUUUUGACUGUUGGAAAAAGAUCAAGGGAAUGUGGCAUCUUUGGAUGUGUUAUAGCCCUUGGUUGCAUACAAUGGUUGGGAUUGAGGAACUCAGCACGCCGCAAGGCCGGGUAGUU